GCCACUUCCCUUAAGUAUUUGGGGGUUUCAAUUCGAAACUCACUCACACAAGUGUAUGACAGCAAUUUCCCCCAAUAAAUCCAAUCCAUUUCAAAAGGUUUGUCCUCCUGGAACAUGCCUCACUUCGGAUGGUUCAGCAGACUGAACAUCCUGAAGAUGGACGUUCUGCCUCGACUCCUGUACUUACUGCAAGUGCUGCCCAUUGCCCUGCCCAAACUCCUGUUCACCACGUUACGCAAAAUAUUUACUGCCUUCAUCUGGUCCCACAAACAUCCCAGAUUAUCCGACUCCCUACUCAUG